rnacentral:rRNA from 1 species
AACGAACGCUGGCGGCAUGCCUAACACAUGCAAGUCGAACGAUGCCUCCGGGCAUAGUGGCGCACGGGUGCGUAACGCGUGGGAAUCUGCCCUUGGGUUCGGAAUAACUCGCCGAAAGGCGAGCUAAUACCGGAUGAUGACGUAAGUCCAAAGAUUUAUCGCCCAAGGAUGAGCCCGCGUAGGAUUAGCUAGUUGGUGGGGUAAAGGCCCACCAAGGCGACGAUCCUUAGCUGGUCUGAGAGGAUGAUCAGCCACACUGGGACUGAGACACGGCCCAGACUCCUACGGGAGGCAGCAGUGGGGAAUAUUGGACAAUGGGCGAAAGCCUGAUCCAGCAAUGCCGCGUGAGUGAUGAAGGCCUUAGGGUUGUAAAGCUCUUUUACCCGGGAUGAUAAUGACAGGACCGGGAGAAUAAGCUCCGGCUAACUCCGU